UUAACUCCAAUUUGUAUGGAGUUCGAAUAUUUGCUUGCGUUUGCCGCCAGGGGCACUGCUCUAACUGCAUACAAAUUUGAAUUA
rnacentral:pre_miRNA from 1 species